rnacentral:lncRNA from 1 species
CUGAAAGCCCCAAGGAGAAGCUGGCUUCCAUGGCUACAUGCCAGCCCUGCUUCCUCAUCGUGUGAUAGGAGAGCAUUUUUACGAGCGUCAAGCGACAUGAGAAAUUUCACAAGCAGUGAAGCAAUGAGAUGGUACAAGUGGAAUCCAUCCACAUCCUGUUCAGAAGCUCUACAGAGCAACUAAGUGAAAUUAUUUAC